ACAAAAAAACAUUUUUUUACCGAGGAAUUACCGAGGAAUUCAUGUCCCUCGGUAAUUACCGAGUAUUUUGCGACAAUUUUCCGAGAAAAAAGUUUUUUCGAAUAUUCUCAUGAUUUACCGAGAGAACACCGAGUGAGUUCAGUACCGAGGGAUUUAAUCACUCAGUAAAGUUUAAAUUUAAUUCAAAAUUAAAACUGUUAGUUUUUACCGAGUACAAAAUCUCUCGGUAAAUUGAAUUUAUAUUGUUUACCUGGUUUCCAACCUACAACGCUUUCCCUCCCCCAAAUUAGAAGCCCUAUUCGAAUCGCUGCUGCCGUCCGCCUCAUUUGCGCUGCCGUCCGUCUGCCUCCAUUGUUUCCGCCUCCAUUUGCGCCCUUCCUCAUUCCACUGUCGUUUUUGCCGUCGCCACCGCCACCGCCGCUCGCCGCCUGUCGCCCGCCACGCGCCGCUGUCGCUGCUUGUUGCUCCCACGCCUUAGGAAUGUGAAGUGGAUGAUAGGUUAGGAAUUGGAUUCAAAAGUCUGGGAUUGAGAAGAACACUGCAGAAAUUCUAGCAGCUGAAGAAAUUGAACUCGCACUCGUGGACUGGCGAAAUUGGGCAAAAGAUGUUUAUUGAAAUCAACAUCUUAUUUCUGGAAAAGAAUGACUUAAGUAACUAAAAGUUGGAGGAGCUACAUCCAUGUACUUGAUGUCCUGUUAUCGCUGACCAAAGGGAAUGUGGUGCUCAGUGAUUAUGUGCAUUACUAUUACAAAUUUCCCUAGCAUAAUCAUUACUUUAAUCGUUGAGGUGGUUGGGUGGAAGUAGAGGUUUCAAUGUCUCAUUACUUUAAUCGUUAAACAUUUUGCAAUGUAGCCAAUAAUUUAUUGAUUUUAUCAUUAUGUGGUGCAGUCUAUGCAAUGUCAUCCUUGUGAAUAGGUUCUUCCUUUGUUUUAAUUUUAUGUCAUGAGCUAGAUGUAGGUGAGUUUUGUGAAUUACUCCGUGUCUUUUGUAUUAGCUUAGAGUUUGUUCUAGAGAUAUAGUAUUUGUUUGGCAUCUAAUGGGACUCACUAGCUGACAUCUCAGCUAGAUAUUGCUAAAAACCUCAGUAUAAAUAUACAUAGAUGCUGUUACACAGCUUUGUGGCACUGACAUACCCUUGUUGAAGUAGACAAGUAGUGUCUGUGUUUAUGCUCAUUUGACAUUUCCGCACCUUGAAUAUUUACUUGUGCUCAGAUUUUUUGCAGUUAACUAUGUGCAUUUAAGUAACAUGAAGUGGCAUUGGCAUUGUUCUUGAUCAUCUUGAUUGUUUUGCAUCUUUUCUGCUAGUGCCUCAUCUAUGCAUAUGCUUGAUGACUGUUUUAAGUUCUUAUUAGGAAUUCUAAUUGUAAGUUCUAAUUCUUGCUGCAAAGGACUGAAAUAUGUGUUGCGUAUUGACAUAACAGAUAAGGAAUUCUUGUGUAUUGACAUAGCUGCUGGAGUUGGGGUAGCUAUUCCAACUGGACAGUUGUUAAGAAGCCUUGUUCUCACGCUUUUAGUUCCUCAAAUCUUGGGAAAGGUUGCUCGAGAACUCUCCAAAGGUGAGGCACCUCUAAACGUAUUUCGAGUCCAUGAACUAUUGCACUGAGGAACCUCUCUAAGAGCCAAAGCAGCAGCCUGCAUAUACCACUCCGCGCUUGACUCGUGAGAAGUGUAGGAAGAAGUCAAGAACAAGAAAAGAGAUUGAAAGAUUGUGAGCAACGAAGGUCCCAGCAGUCGAGGAGUAGUGGCUUAGGAGGUUCUUAGCUUUUGUGUAGUAUGUUUGGUACAUUUUGAUACAUUAUUAUGAUAUUUCGCUUAGAUGUAGUUUAUUUAGUACUUUUUAUGUUAUUGUGUUAUUUACAUAUAAACAUAUUGUUGGAUAUUGAACAAUGUCGAAUGAAUUUUAAAUUGGAUU